UAAGCUCGUCCUCUCUUCUUCCCCAAGAUGUUGUUCUUUAAUCCCCAAUACCUGUGAAUAUUUUACUUGACAUGGUAAUAGACUUUGCAGAUGUGAUUAAAGGUAUAGGUGCUGAGUUAGGCAAAUUAUUCUUUAUUUUCCAGGUGGGUUCUUUCUUAUUGCAUGAAUCCUUAAAAACAGAAAAUUGUUCCUGGGCGUAGUCACAGAUCGAUGUGAAGAUAGAAGACAGCACCAGAAUCAAUGAACUCUGCAAAGAUCCUGGACUCCUUCUCCUGCUGCAUAAUAAAGGAAGUGAAAUUCUGCUUCAUCGAUGAAUAACAGGAUUUUAUAUAAAACUUUGAAUGACAUAGGAGGGACAAUUUGCAUAGAACAACAAGUCCUCAAACUGGCCACAAGCUGUCUGCACUGUUAUUUGAGGAUUUCCAAAAUGCCAGAAGGUGCACUAACAGCUGUAGAUACUUGAGUCAACAAGAAACUUCUGUACUUUUUCUCUCAAGGUCAUACAGCCCUGAAUCUGAUAGCAACAGAGCUUCAGCAAUAACAGCAGAUGCCAUCUUAGAUUAAUAUGAUGUCAGAAGUGGGAUCCAAAGUAGAGGUUCUAACGACCCCCAAGAACACUGAGUGACCAAACAAGGUACCUGCUGGACUCACUUGUGUCUGCUGAUCUUUCAGGGCAGCUGGGGAUUGUGGGCAGUUGCACAACCUGGAGGCUGGCAUCAUGGGGUCAUUUAGGAUUGAAUCUGAAGGAGCCGCUGUGGUGGAAAUGAAAUCCCUGCACAAAAGAAGCUGGGGCUGAACUAUCAUAUUCUCCUGGAAGUAGUGGUGCUUUUAUAAUCUUUGGCCUGCAAUGUUAUUUGAAGUGUGAAUGUCUUCUAAUUUUUCUGACUCAAUGUCAUUGGCUUUCCUGAGUAUGAAGAUUAAGGUUUAUCACCAGUUUGAAGAAAUGCUUAGUGAUUUUUAAAAAUCUACCCAGGUAUAUCAUAGAUCUUGUAGCCUAUGUGUCUCAUAAAAAUCCCUUUUCUUUAUUUAUCUCCCUUGCAUUCUGAAUAAUUUUGUCAAUUCUACUUACUAGUCCAUUAUUAUUUUAUUCCUUGGUGUCAAAUAUAAUGUUCUACCCAUGAUAUGCAUCUUUAAUUUCAAUACUAUAUUUCUGGAAGUUCUAUUUAAUUCUGUUUUGAGACCUCUAGCUAAGUUUUAAUACCUG
rnacentral:lncRNA from 10 species